GUUUUCCAUUUAAUUCCGUUCUCCAUUUGAUUCCGGCAUCACAGGCAUCACAGAAUCGCCACUUGUCAAGAGGCUG